rnacentral:ncRNA from 13 species
GGCCGGGUGGCGCGCAGCCAUACAAGACCCGAAAGGGGAAAACUGCGGGCCGUCCUAGAGCGGUGUUCAAGCGCCCGGCCGCCCCUCU